CAAUUAUCAUUUACAGCAGCAUGGUAGAUCAUGUCUUACUUAAGUUUUCAAGAUAGAUAGAUAGAUAGCCCUGUUACUUAUGAGAUUGAGAUAAAACUAUGAGUAAUGUAAUUAGUUAUGGAAAGACAGCUGCAUAUGACAUACUUAAUCAAUCACAAUGACAUUAAAAUUUUUGUUACAUGCAAAGAAAUCCCUCAAUUUUGAUAGGAUGUUCAUAAGACAUAUCACUCACAAGAUGAAAUGAUUUAGAUUAUUUAUACAGUUUGUAUAUUCAUUCACUUGAGGUAUUUUUUGUGAUUGUCUUUGAAUUGAGUUUUGGCUUCAGCCUGUUAUGCAACAAAGCAAGAAUUAAACUGAACGCAAAACAUUAACUUUGUGUUGUUUACAAACUUGACAAAUGGCAGUAAGCAAUGUUAUUGUAUUUUUGUAAAGUUUCCCUUUAGGUGACAAAGCGAGGCUGAAGCAGUGGCUGGUGAACACAAGACGGCAGGACUGGAAACCAACAGGAUCAUCACGUCUUUGCAGUGCUCAUUUUGAAGAGCAUGCCUUUACUGUGGACUCAAAGGUUAAAUUAUUUCUUUUUUAAUGGACAGCAAUUUUUAUGAUGUUCACAUUUGCAACAAUUUAUUGUUAAAUUGACUAACACUUUGAAUCAUAAAAUGGCGGUUAUUUAAACAUUCCCAAGAGCUGAACACUACAACUAUCGUGGUUCCAUUUUAAAUUACUGCUGUUUUUAUGUUUUCUAAAAUUAGGUAUUUGCAUGUAGUUGUGGUGUCUGCUACCAUCUACUGGUCAUUAUUAGUUAGUGUCAUCAGUCAUUUUCAGUUUAAGUUGGCGCAGCCUGGAGUAAAAAAAACCAGGAAUUAUGUUGCAAAAAAAAUUUGAGUGAUACCACAUGAACAACUUCUUAUGCUUAGACCAAAUGUGCCCUGUUAGAUAAAGGUAACAGCACUAGCCAAGUAGUAGUCUCUAAGAAUGCUAACUAAAUUAAACCUUUUAAAUAAUUGGACAAGUAUAUCAAAACCUCUUAAGUUUUCAUGCUGAGCUACCUGGUUUGAGACAUAAGUGUCUUAAUGAAUUUAAGUACUGGUAUUCACAAUUUAAUUGAUGAAUUUCUUUGUGUUUUUCAGACUUCAUCACCAACCACUGAUGAUAUGGUGGAUUCAUCUGCUGCAGCCUGUUUCCUUUCCACCCAAUGCAACUCCCAAAGUACUAGAUUAUAUCUUUUUAAGUUCCUGGUAAAAUAACAAACACACAGGUUUUCUGCAAAGGAGUUAAGUAUUUAUAAAUCACAAAUAAAUACUAAAAUGCUAGUGUCCUCUCACAAGUGUCCAUGUCAUGCUAUCUGAUUUACAUUAAUUACAUGCUGUUCACUACACAUACUGUCAGUUUGUUUUUUCAGUUUUACCACACUUUGUCCACUUCAUGGUGAGGACUCGCACACA